GACGCGUUUCGCUGCUGCUCCGCUGCUAGCUUCGCAUAGUGGUGACUCGAAGGGAAAAAAUACGCACUCUCUAGCUCUGCUCCGUUAACCUGCGAUGUCGAGUUGAUUUUUAAUCUCCGGUGCACGCUUGAAGCUCCAUUUUUUUUCAAAACACCGGACCGGAGCAUUAUAAAUAUGGCCAGCAAAGUAUGGCAUUCAGAAUUGUGGAAGUCAUGGGAUAAGCAUGGGAAAAACGAUUUCCUCAAGCUAAUCAAGCACAAGCUUAAGGAAGGCAACACACCAGAAUGGAAACGUGGAAUAUACGAAUUAAUAUCAAAUGGAAUCCAUGGAAACGUAAAAAAGGACAAUGUAGUUCAGACAUUAGGUGAACUCACGAAUUUUGAUGUACCGUCUAUACCAUCUGCAAUAGUAGACAUAUUUACUUUAAUUGAUGUAGAAGCGCAUAAUGAGGAAAGGAACAACUUCUACUAUAUUGUGAAAGAAACUGAAAAGUUUCUGACCGAUAGAAUAUUGAAAGAACGUUUAGAAAUUGAUACCUUACAAGAUGUAGGGACAUUGAAAAACAAAAAUUUUCAAACCAAGUUUAUAAAAGUAAAGACAAAGUUAUAUUAUAAACAAAGGAAAUUUAAUUUAUUUCGUGAAGAGAGCGAGGGUUACUCCAAGCUCAUUGUAGAAUUAAAUCAAGAGUGUCCAGAUAGUGAGGUGGCCUCGACAUUGGAAAUUGUUAAAUCUCUUAUCGGUUAUUUCAAUCUUGACCCUAAUAGAGUACUCGACAUCUUAUUAGAAACCUUUGAAAACCGACCGCAAGACGAUGCUUUAUUUAUUCCCUUAAUACGUUCAUAUAUGAGCGAUCAGCAGGUACUUUGCGAAGUGUUAGGAUUCAAAUAUUGCUCUACGGUCAACGCCACGCCAUUCUCUCUGCAAAAGGUCACCGCACUCAUGCUGCAGCAUGGUGUGAUUAAACUCGACGAUAUAUUGCCCUGGCUAGUGCCAGACGAUAAAAUUAUAAUAUCAGAUCAUGAGCAGGUGAUGAAGCAUGCCAAGGAAUACGUGCGGAAAUUGAGCGUAAUCUCGACAAAGGACAAGGAGGAUAUUGUAGAAGAAAAGGAGAAUGCACAAGACAAGUAUGCAAGCAAUCAAAAAUUUGGAUUGUGUGAAGCGCUUCUGGAAAUUGGAGCUUGGGAAGUAGCGCAGAAUUUAUUCAAUCGUUUGCCAGAUUAUUGUUUUACGGAUCAACGUCCCAUAGCUCUGGCGUUGUGCAAAAUGAUUCAAGCUCUUGUCGAACCCGUAUAUCGAAAACAUUGUAUUGUUUCUCCAAAAUUACCGGGUCGUAAAGUACCUCCGUUGAAGAGUUCCCUCGCGCCGCCAUCGUUGCAUGAUCUGCAAGACAUUCAUGAUUACUUAUUGCCGAUGUUGAUCGUGCUCGGGCCGAAUCUGCAUCAGGAUCCCAUUCUGAUGUAUAAGGUGAUGAGACUGUGUCAUGCCGCUAUUAAGCAAUCUCCACUUGACGCGAGCAAGCAGCCGCUAAAUAAGAAUUGUACCCUUUACUAUGAUGUGCUGACGAUACUCGACGUCGCGCUUCUGCCCUCUCUGUCUUUUAUGGACUGCAACUGUUGCGUCGCCGAGGAGCUGUGGAACAUCCUCAAGUACUAUCCCUAUCAGAAUCGUUAUUGUCUGUAUGCACGCUGGAAGAACGACACACCGUUGCAGCACGCUGCGCUGCUGCGUAAACGUGCCGAUGCUCAAAAGAAGAUCAAGUCAAUCAUGAAGCGUGUGAGCAAGGAAACGAUCAAGCCGGUUGGCCGAUCAUUAGGCAAGCUUACGCAUUCCUCGCCAGGUGUACUAUUUGAUUAUGUUCUCAUACAGAUCCAAUUAUAUGACAAUUUAAUAGGACCUGUAGUGGACUCCUUAAAGUAUUUGACAAAUAUCUCAUACGAUGUGUUGGGAUAUUGUCUGGUAGAGGCGUUAGCGGGUGCUGACAGGGAUAGAUUUAAACACGAUGGCACCAGUAUAUCCUUGUGGUUGCAAUCUCUUGCUUCAUUUUGCGGAGCAAUAUUUAAGAAGUAUAACAUCGAAUUAACAGGGUUGUUACAGUAUGUAGCGAAUCAACUUAAAGCUCAAAAGAGCUUAGAUCUAUUAAUAUUAAAAGAAAUAGUACAAAAAAUGGCUGGUAUCGAAGCAGCCGAAGAAAUGACGUCUGAUCAAUUGGACGCUAUGGCAGGUGGAGAUCUAUUAAAAAAUGAGGCCGGUUACUUCAGUCAAGUCCGCAAUACAAAAAAAUCUUCGCAACGUUUAAAAGAAGCUCUUGCCGAACAAGAUCUUGCGGUCGCACUGUGCUUGUUGAUGGCACAACAGAAACAUUGUGUCGUUUAUAGGGAGACAGAUAAAUCUCACUUAAAACUCGUUGGCAAGUUAUAUGAUCAAUGCCAGGACACACUGGUACAAUUCGGAACUUUCCUGGGCUCAACUAUGACGGUAGAUGAGUAUGUGGAGCGACUACCCUCGAUUCAUUCUAUGCUCCAGGACAAUCACAUUCAUGCGGAUGUCGCGUUUUUCCUGGCACGGCCAAUGUUCGCACAUGCCAUAAAUAUAAAAUAUGAUGCUCUUCGUAAAGCUGAUCCAAAUUACAAGAAAAUGUCCACGGCUACGAAGCAAUUAAAGUACGCGGAAGCCGCGCAAACUGUUAUGGCACCUGUUGCUCAAUCUGUCAGGCCGUUGCAUCCUCUAAAGGUUUGGGAGGACAUUUCGCCGCAAUUCUUAGUCACAUUUUGGUCUCUAUCAAUGUAUGAUUUAUACGUGCCAGUGGAAAGUUAUCAAAGAGAAGUUAACAAGAUGAAGCAAUUGGCAACACAAACCGCCGAUUCCAAAGAUAUGAAUGUAAGUAAAGGAAAGAAGGAACAAGAAAAAUAUACCACUCUUAUUGAGAAACUGCAGGACGAAAAGAAGAAACAAGAGGAACAUGUUGAAAAAGUUUUUGCGUACCUGAGACAAGAAAAGGACACAUGGUUCUUGUCACGAAGCGCUAAAUCUGCGAAGAAUGAGACGAUAACGCAAUUUCUACAGUUGUGCCUAUUUCCACGGUGUACAUUUACAACUGUAGACGCCAUGUACUGUGCGAAAUUUGUACAUACCAUCCACUCUCUGAAGACUGCAAAUUUUUCAACUCUGCUUUGCUACGAUCGUCUUUUCUGUGAUAUCACAUAUUCAGUCACUUCGUGCACAGAAAACGAAGCAAAUCGAUAUGGCAGAUUUUUAUGCGCUAUGCUGGAAACUGUGAUGAGAUGGCAUUCUGAAAAAGCCAUAUUUGAUAAGGAAUGCAGUAAUUAUCCUGGUUUUGUGACCAAGUUCCGCGUGAGCAAUCAAUUUUCUGAAGCAAAUGAUAUGGUUGGCUUUGAAAAUUACAGACAUGUGUGUCACAAGUGGCAUUAUAAGAUCACAAAGGCAAUUGUAGUAUGUCUAGAUUCUAAGGACUAUGUGCAAAUAAGGAAUUCUUUGAUAAUAUUGAUCAAGAUAUUACCACACUUUCCCGUCUUGGCGAAACUCUCUCAGAUCCUCGAACGAAAGGUGGAAAAAGUAAGAGAGGAAGAGCGUGGUCAGCGCCAAGAUUUGCAUGUCCUAGCAACAUCGUACAGCGGACAAUUAAAAGCUAAAACUCCUAAUAUGAUACGUGAAUCAGAUUUUCACCAUGUGGGCGAUAAGGCUAAAACUCAAGACGCAACAAAUAGUGAAACGAGCGAAAAAGUUAACAAUGGAGUAGCGGUGAAAGAAAAUAAUAAUGGAGAUGCUCGGCCAGAAAAGGAAAAUAAAGAACAAAGAGAAAAACGAAGUUCCUCCAAUCAAAUGCAUCACGAUAUCAAUUCUUUGAAUAGUGAAAAUUCUGAGAAGUUCAGAAAGAAAGAAGAGAGUAAGGACAUUUUGGAGGCUAAAGAAAAAUAUAUUAAAAAAGAAGAAGUGAAAGACGAUGAGGGAUUAGAAAAGAAGGAUCGCAAAUAUUAUAAAGAAGAACAGCACUAUUACAGUAGUAGUGUAGACAAUUUAGAUCGAGAUCUUUCCAGUGUAUCAAAUAGUAGUGCUAGUUCAGGUCCUUUACAAGAGGGUCCUGAAAGAGUUUUAGAUGUAAAAAGAAGAAAAGUAGAGAGUGUCCCAAAGCAGGAAGGAAGACGCGCGGAAGCUGUUCUUGACAAGAAAGAACGUUCCAGUAAAGGGAAAACACGUGACGAACAGAAAGAGCUGCGAAGAGAAAAGAAACAGGGGCGAAAAAGGGAUCGAGCAGAGGAAUCCAUACCAACUACUGAACAGAAACGAAGAAAGGAUGACGAAAGAGCCAAAGGCACUCAUCAGAACGGUGACAUUCCUGAACAUAGAGAAAAGCAUCAUUACAGUAAGUUGAUAAAGAUGUCUACUUCGAGUACAUUAAAGGGACGAAAUGGGCGACAAUAGCAAACAAGAAAAUAUUGAUGAAAAAUCUCCAUAUGCAAAGGAUCGUCCUCAUGAACGUGAAGGACGCGAAAGCCGUGAUAAACAUAGAAGGAGUUCAGAUCCAAAACGAAGAUGAUGUACAACGGAAAGGAGCUCGACUUAACAUUUUCUAUGCUAUGUUUGAUGUUGCAUGUAAUGAACGUAGAAUUCAAAAUAAAGCAAAAAAUAGUCAGUAAUUUGUAUAUUAUAUGUUUUAACAUCCAAUUUUAUAAAAUAAAUUAUCUAAAUGUCCGAUAUAUA
rnacentral:misc_RNA from 1 species